AGCUCACGGAGACAAAAGACGGGCCAAUCGCAGGGCAGGGUGUGUCUCCGGUCUUUUCUGCAUCUCUCCGAGAAAAGCCGCCGCUUGAGUGAAGGGAGAAGAGGCGGGGGUAGAAGGAGUCGGAGCCGAGGAGGGGAGUGUGCUUCUCGCCCCAGACAGACGCACGCCGCCUCUGUUUGUAUACAGUACGCUUUCCAGCCGGCACGGCUUUUCUCUCUCGUUCGUCCUCUUGCUUCAUUGUUCUCUUGCUUCCUUGCAGCAAGGGCUGAAGCUCCCAGCCAAGAGACUGCCGCUGAGCUCCGGCAGACGGGGAAGGGUCGGUCUCUCUCCCUCUCUGUCUGUCUCAACCACGCAUCCUCCUACACCUCUGCCUAGCACAUUCCCGGGAGCAGGCGCGUCUGCGUCUCGUGUGAGCUAUGAUUGACUCGUGGCAGCUCUUAGCCUGUGAGCUGCGCUCGGGUCUCCUAGGAUAACCUUUUCAUUAGAAGAGACGCGGAACUCGGCUGAGAAAAAAAAAAAGAGAGAGAGAGAGAGAGAGAGAGAGAGAGAGAGAGAGUUUUCUCCCUUUUCUUCAUCUGUAGUGGAAAGGACACUUAUAUAUAUUUUUAAUAUUAUUUGUGUGUGUGUGUGUGUGUGUGUGUGUGUGUGUGUGCUGACUAGCCAGGUAGAGGGAUCGGCUUUCUCCUUCCUCGCAGCUUUUCCUACUCUUAACUCCUCAAGUCUGCUCCGUCUUCGCCUUCUUGGAAUCGUCCGUCCCUCGGGAGAUCAAAGGAUCAUGAGCCGCUGGGUGGCCGCCUGGUUUCUGCUGUGGGGGAGCCUCGGAGCCCCGUCGCUCGCCAAAGGCUGUGGUAAUGACCACCAGUGUAUCACAAGAAAACAGCAAGAAAAGUGACGAAUGGAUAACAUUUAUUUAUUUAUCUGAAUAUCUGUUUACUGUUUACUACUAUCAAAUAGUCCCACAGCACCUUUCAACAAGAGACAAAUAAGUUGAUGAGGUCAUAAAAGCAUUAUUAGAAAAAGUGAGAGGGAAAAAGAAAACCAUUCAUUCUAGAAAGGCCUGGACAAAAAGAUGUGUCUUCAACAGACACCGGAAAGCUGUGGGCACCUUAUGAAUAUCAGAGGGAAGAAGAUUCCAGAAGGAAAACACAAACUCAAAGAAGGCCAAACUUCAGGAAAUUAGAAGAUGAUAUUUACUAACUUGUGGCUUUAGCUGGUACUGGGUAUUCCUAGCUGGUUUUUUUUUUGGUUUUGGUUUUGGUUUUUUGUCAUCUAGGCCUCCAAAGACAGUGAUUUCUAUGUACCUGUUCAUUAUAUUGUUGUUGUUCUUGUUAUUAUUCAUUAU
rnacentral:lncRNA from 1 species